rfam:Cetobacterium somerae ATCC BAA-474 genomic scaffold Scaffold299, whole genome shotgun sequence.
AAAAGAAACUAAGCGCCAGAACUUUUUAAGUUGACGAGGACUGGAAUCAUCGAACAUUCGGCGGGUAUUCCAGAGGUGACUACAACCUUAGACCUUCUACAAAUCUAAAAGGUGACUUUUAGGACAAAGGAAAGUAAGUAGUGAU